rnacentral:rRNA from 1 species
CCCAGACUCCUACGGGAGGCAGCAGUGGGGAAUAUUGCACAAUGGGCGCAAGCCUGAUGCAGCCAUGCCGCGUGUAUGAAGAAGGCCUUCGGGUUGUAAAGUACUUUCAGUCGGGAGGAAGGUGGUAAGGUUAAUAACCUUAUCAAUUGACGUUACCGACAGAAGAAGCACCGGCUAACUCCGUGCCAGCAGCCGCGAUAAUACGGAGGGUGCAAGCGUUAAUCGGAAUUACUGGGCGUAAAGCGCACGCAGGCGGUUGAUUGAGUCGGAUGUGAAAUCCCCGGGCUUAACCCGGGAAUUGCAUCUGAUACUGGUCAGCUAGAGUCUUGUAGAGGGGGGUAGAAUUCCAUGUGUAGCGGUGAAAUGCGUAGAGAUCUGGAGGAAUACCGGUGGCGAAGGCGGCCCCCUGGACAAAGACUGACGCUCAGGUGCGAAAGCGUGGGGAGCAAACAGGAUUAGAUACCCUCGUAGG